rnacentral:rRNA from 1 species
GAAUCUGCCUUUUGGUCGGGGACAACCAUUGGAAACGAUGGCUAAUACCCGAUGUGCCCUUGGGUGAAAGAUUUAUUGCCAGAAGAGGAGCUCGCGUCUGAUUAGCUAGUUGGUAGGGUAAAAGCCUACCAAGGCAUCGAUCAGUAGCUGGUCUGAGAGGAUGACCAGCCACACUGGGACUGAGACACGGCCCAGACUCCUACGGGAGGCAGCAGUGGGGAAUUUUCCGCAAUGGGCGAAAGCCUGACGGAGCAAGACCGCGUGAGGGAGGAAGGCUCUUGGGUCGUAAACCUCUUUUGUCAGGGAAGAACACAAUGACGGUACCUGACGAAUCAGCCUCGGCUAACUCCGUGCCAGCAGCCGCGGUAAUACGGAGGAGGCAAGCGUUAUCCGGAAUUAUUGGGCGUAAAGCGUCCGCAGGUGGCACCUCAAGUCUGCUGUCAAAGACCGGGGCUUAACCCCAGAAAGGCAGUGGAAACUGAAGUGCUAGAGUGCAGUAGGGGUAGAGGGAAUUCCCGGUGUAGCGGUGAAAUGCGUAGAGAUCGGGAAGAACAUCGGUGGCGAAAGCGCUCUGCUGGACUGCAACUGACACUCAGGGACGAAAGCUAGGGGAGCGAAUGGGAUUAGAUACCCCAGUAGUCCUAGCCGUAAACGAUGGAUACUAGGUG